AUGUUUUCACCAAGGGGAACAAACACCCCUGAUACAAAAAUAAGUACAAACAAGUAUAUUUACAAAGACCCUAAGAAACCACUACUUAUCUAGCCCUGCCUGGCCCUCAGGUGGCCCGUACUCAUUUCCGGGAGGGUACGCCCUGGAAAUCUAAGAGCUGGACUCCAAGAAAUUGAUAUCUGCUAAGUUGCCCCCCUCCUGGGCCGGUGAUUCAGGAC
rnacentral:lncRNA from 1 species